GAUGAAGAACGUAGUGAAGUGCGAUAAGUAAUGUGAAUUGCAGAAUCCGUGAAUCAUCGAAUUUUUGAACGCAAAUUGCACUCUCUGGUACUCCGGGGAGUAUGCCUGUUUGAGGGUCUGUUUAUACAAAAUCGAAGUGUCGCUUUUGUGACAUUUCGGAAUUGGGUUAUCUUAACCUUUAAGUUAAGAGACUUGAAAUUAAUAAUUUUUUACGCAUCCUUGACGUGUAUAAUUUAUUUAUCCGUUUCCGGGUGUCUACUUUUAUUAGGUAUGGUCAUGUUGUAUGAUAUCAUGCCUAUAAUUUUUCAUUGAAUGACCUCAAAUCAGGUAGGAAUACCCGCUGAACUUAAGCAUAUCAAUAAGCGGAGGA
rnacentral:misc_RNA from 1 species